rnacentral:misc_RNA from 1 species
UGUAUGCAAGAAGGCCAAGUCAAUCGUUCAAUCGGAAACAACCUCAAUCUCCUCCGUAAUGGCUCGGACCUCGAUCACGCACUCACCUCCCACUCCUUCAUGGUUCACUCCCAGAAGGUUGCUUAUGAUUUUUUGUGUGAUUAAUAUGUUAAAUUAUGUGGAUCGUGGUGCAAUAGCAAGCAAUGGAGUUAAUGGGAGUAUUAGGACUUGUGAUGAAAAGGGAAUUUGCAAUUCCGGUAGUGGAAUUCAGGGGGAUUUCGACUUGAACAAUUUCCAGGAUGGUGUUCUAUCAUCUGCUUUUAUGGUUGGACUUCUUGUGGCUUUUUCCAUAUUUU